GACGAACGCUGGCGGCGUGCUUAACACAUGCAAGUCGAACGGAAAGGCCCGGCUUUUGUUGUUUGCUCGAUUGGCGAACGGGUGAGUAACACGUGAGUAACCUGCCCUUGACUUUGGGAUAACUUCAGGAAACUGGGGCUAAUACCGGAUAGGAUCUCCUGCUGCAUGGUGGUGGUUGGAAAGUUUCGGCGGUUGGGGAUGGACUCGCUGCUUAUCAGCUUGUUUGUGUGGUAGUGGCUUACCAAGGCUUUGACGGGUAGCCGGCCUGAGAGGGUGACCGGCGACAUUAGGACUGCGAGACGGAGCAGAAUCGUACGGGAGGCAGCAGUGGAGAAUAUUGCGGAAUAGGGGGAAGCCAGAUGCAGAAACGCCGCGUGCGGGAUGACGGGCUACGGGGUGUAAACAGCUUUGGAAGGAGACGAAGCGUGAGUGACGGUAAUGGGUAAAGAAGCAACGGCUAACUACGUG
rnacentral:rRNA from 1 species